CCAUCGAUAGCUCAGUCGGUAGAGCGGUGGACUGUAGAUCCAUAGGUCGCUGGUUCAAAUCCGGCUCGACGGA
rnacentral:tRNA from 1 species